AGCUCUCUGAGAGGAAGAGUUACUUACAGAAAAUGGAGCAGCAAAGCUGACUGUUUGGCAGGGCAAUGAGAACACAUCUCUCAGGGAAGGUUUAAUCCACUUUACAUAUCUGGUGACAGAAUUCAUGCGUAAUCUAGAAGAAAUGGGAAGAUGCUUUCUUCAAGCUAGUCCUCAUUCUGCCUUAUGGUAAGUCCUUUUUCAUUCAAAGUAGUUGUGUUUUCUUUCCAUGCCAUAACUUUGUUG
rnacentral:lncRNA from 1 species